UACGGGAGGCAGCAGUGGGGAAUAUUGCACAAUGGGCGCAAGCCUGAUGCAGCCAUGCCGCGUGUAUGAAGAAGGCCUUCGGGUUGUAAAGUACUUUCAGUCGUGAGGAAGGUGUUAAGGUUAAUAACCUUAGCAAUUGACGUUAGCGACAGAAGAAGCACCGGCUAACUCCGUGCCAGCAGCCGCGGUAAUACGGAGGGUGCGAGCGUUAAUCGGAAUUACUGGGCGUAAAGGGCACGCAGGCGGUUAAUUAAGUUGGAUGUGAAAUCCCCGGGCUUAACCUGGGAAUGGCAUUCAAGCUGGUUAGCUAGAGUCUUGUAGAGGGGGUAGAAUUCCAUGUGUAGCGGUGAAAUGCGUAGAGAUGUGGAGGAAUACCGGUGGCGAAGGCGGCCCCUGGGACAAAGACUGACGCUCAUGUGCGAAAGCGUGGGGAGCAAACGAGGAUUAGAUACC
rnacentral:rRNA from 1 species